CAGAAUUAAGCGGUGCUCCCUGAGAAAAAGCACUCUGAGCUCCUGCAGUCCCGCUUUGUACUUCAGCCGCAGCCAUCGCCCCCCGACGCCCCCCGAUGUCCCCCAACGCCCCCCGGGGCGCCGUUCUGACUGUGCUCUCUUUAGGAAGCGCUGUGAGUCCGUUCCGUUCCCCGCGGAGCAAAGCGCGGAACGGAGCGGUGCGACCCGGCGGGGUGCGAAGCGGUGUUCAUAGCGUGCAGGGCGGGGAGGGACCGCCUCUCCAUCGCCGCCGUUCCGCCAACCAAAGCUGCACAUCCCUCCUCUGUGUCUCCUUCGGAUUCUGAAUGGGUUACGAUGCGCUCCAGCCCGCAGCAGCAGCUCUGAAAUGCACUGUUUUUACUGAUGAUACUCGUGCUUUUUUUCCAUUUGAUUGCCGAGAUGACAUGAAUUGUUGACUUUAUUUUUACACAAUAAAAGAGUGAAGAAAGAAAAGACGCCGCGCUGUGUGUGCCGCUCACGGGGACCCCCCGCCGCACGCAGGAGCUGCUGCGCAUCCGCGCCCGUUGCACGAUGAGCUCAGCAGGUGAACGCAUCGCCUCUCCUGCCGGCCCACAGCGCGCUGCCC
rnacentral:lncRNA from 1 species